AACGAACACUGGCGGCAGGCUUAACACAUGCAAGUCGAGCGCCCCGCAAGGGGAGCGGCAGACGGGUGAGUAACGCGUGGGAAUCUACCCAUCACUACGGAACAACUCCGGGAAACUGGAGCUAAUACCGUAUACGUCCUCCGGGAGAAAGAUUUAUCGGUGAUGGAUGAGCCCGCGUUGGAUUAGCUAGUUGGUGGGGUAAUGGCCCACCAAGGCGACGAUCCAUAGCUGGGCUGAGAGGAUGAUCAGCCACACUGGGACUGAGACACGGCCCAGACGCCUGCGGGAGGCAGCAGUGGGUAAUAUUGGACAAUGGGCGCAAGCCUGAUCCAGCCAUGCCGCGUGAGUGAUGAAGGCCCUAGGGUUGUAAAGCUCUUUCACCGGUGAAGAUAAUGACGGUAACCGGAGAAGAAGCCCCGGCUAACUUCGUGCCAGCCGCCGCCGUAA
rnacentral:rRNA from 1 species